rnacentral:rRNA from 1 species
GAUGAACGCUGGCGGCGUGCUUAAGACAUGCAAGUCGAACGGAGUGUGUAGCAAUACUCACUGAGUGGCGAAUGGGUGAGUAACACGUAGGUGACCUGCCCUGAAGUGCGGAAUAACAGUCCGAAAGGAUUGCUAAUACCGCAUGUGGUCCCGGGCGUUAGAGAACCGGGUCUAAAGCAGUAAUGCGCUUCAGGAGGGGCCUGCGGUCCAUCAGCUAGNGGUAGGGUAAUGGCCUACCAAGGCAACGACGGAUAGGGGACCUGAGAGGGUGGCCCCCACAUUGGCACUGACACACGGG